rnacentral:tRNA from 1 species
GGCCCCAUCGUCUAGCGGAUAGGACGUGGCCCUCUCAAGGCCAAAACACGGGUUCGAUUCCCGUUGGGGCUA